AUGCAUUAAAGAAAAUUCAUUCUUACUAUUAUCACCAACUAUACAACAUCCAGUCAUACAUAGACGGCACAGAAUGUUUCUGAAAAACUAAGUCAACAUACCAAAAAUGUAGCAUUUACAUAAAGCAUCCAAGUAAGAAUGUCUCCAAACAAGUUACUGACAGUAACAAAGAAGUAGGAAUAAUUUCACUGGAUAGCCUCAUUCCAUUUAGUUUCCCCUCAUAAAAACAAACAAGGGUGAUAAGAUGAAUAAAGAAAAAAAACCCAAAAAAAGCAUCUCCUAACAUGCAUCUUUUGUAAUGUUUGAAAAUAAUGUAUUUGUUGCUAAUUUUUUUUAACUUCCUAACUAUCACCUCAAAAAUUGGAGGUUAGUUCAUUAUCCAACGGUCAGAAGCAACAAUCAUGAAGACAUCAAAUCAAGCCAUUUCAUUCUGCAAUAAAUGUUGCUGAACUCUAGAAUUUGUUCAUUUAGGAUUUGGUUUAGCAGAUCUGCG
rnacentral:lncRNA from 1 species